CUUGCCUACGGGGCGCAGCAGUGAGGAAUAUUGGUCAAUGGCCGAGAGGCUGAACCAGCCAAGUCGCGUGAGGGAAGACGGCCCUACGGGUUGUAAACCUCUUUUGCCGGGGAGCAAGGGCGGGGACGUGUCCCGGCCCGGAGAGUACCCGGAGAAAAAGCAUCGGCUAACUCCGUGCCAGCAGCCGCGGUAAUACGGAGGAUGCGAGCGUUAUCCGGAUUUAUUGGGUUUAAAGGGUGCGUAGGCGGGCUUUUAAGUCAGCGGUAAAAAUUCGGGGCUCAACCCCGUCCGGCCGUUGAAACUGG
rnacentral:rRNA from 1 species